UCAAGCACCAACAUAUCCGACCAGGAGUGCUGGAGAAGUUUCAUUUGGUCGUCAACCUGUCAAAUAAAAAUUCAAUUAAUUAAAACUGCGUUCUCCAAAAAAUGAUUGGAAUGCAGCAAAAUUGAUACAAGAGGAAUGCUCAGUUACGUGAAAGCAAGUAAUUUAAUGAGCAAACGCCUCUGAAAUCAUCAUUACUCAUACGUCCCUGAAAGGCCGGUUGAUUGAAAAGUCUUUCUACUACCGAAGACUUUUACUUUCGUUUGUAUCUGGUACAGCCGUGUAUUUAAAGAUUUAAAAGAAAAAAAAAUGAGAGCCAGUAACAGCACCAUUUCUUAAGUUAUUUACCAUCGAGUGUAACUUAUGGAAAUCAAAUUGGAAUGAAAAAGAAACCGGUUCACGAGAUGACAGUGAAAGAGAGGACACACGCAGAGAUCGAGAGGAGAGGAAUAUGAAAGGAAAAAAAAGGAGAAUAUGUUGUCCGAGAAUCAAGAGGAAUUAAAUCCAUUAUAAUGUUAGAUCAUUAUUAAAAGUAUACACGGAUAAUUGCAGUGAAGAAUUAUUGUGAACCCGCUUUGAGAGAACCAGCUUCACCGACUGAUGUAGCGUGCAUUAAUGUUCCUUUAUCUGUAAUGGCAAUCGGAAACUUUUAUUCUUCUAAAUGCCAGGACAGUGCCUGACAUUCACAUUAUUUUCAUGGGUCGAGGAUUCUUUGGGUCACAAAACAAGCCAUAUUUCUCCAAUAGCGAUAUUUGUCUCUCCCCCGUUUUUCGCCUCGCCUCAUCAAAAGCCAAGUUUUUACAAUUAGAAAUUUUGAAAAUUCAUGGUGGACUUUCCGUGCAGGAUUGUUAGCUAAUGGCCCCAAUCCUCCAAAUUGAAUUAGACCAUUAAUGAAGCACCUCGUUUACGUUUCACUCUAUAUCUGGACCAAAGAUGAUUUUCUACGCGCGGGAUUACUUCACCGGUGAUUCGUGGUCCGGGAUAUCUCUCGACUUGGAGCGCGGCAAGCAGCCAGGCGUGCUGCGGGCUCUUUCGUGCGUGGAAUAGGCUCAAGGCUGCAACGGUGCAACGCUAAGUAACUGCACACAACCGCACACAACUUGCUCCUUACACCACUUACUGGUUGUCUCUUGCAUUUUCAAAUCUCUUUUUUUUUUAUCCCAAACACAAAAAUUCUAUAUCCUUUUAGAGGCAUCAUCUCCACUUGCACAAGGUAUUUAUCGCUCCAUCAUUUCACAAUUAGAUUUCUUUCCAUCGGUGUGACCGGACCGCAGGUAAGAAUCCUCCCUACCGUACGCAGCCAAUUUAGGUUAGGUUUUAACGCGCGAAAUUUCAAAUAAUUAAUUUAAAAAGUAUUUAGAAAUAUUAUACAAAUAUUAUACAUUUAGUAAAACCUUGCAGUCUGAUCAAAAAAAAAAUUUGCUUAGAACAAAUUCGGAUAAAUAUAAAUAAAUAAAAUAUAUAUUAAAAUUUCAAUUAAAAAGUUGCAAUCUAUUAAAUGUGCAUUAUUCGUAUUGAAAAAAAAAAUUGCUGUCGAAAUUGUUUAUUGUGCAAAUAAAAAUAGAGAAAUAUUUUCUCAUAUCCUCGAGGCGUGGACGCCCAUGAAACGGUUGAUCGGUCCAUAUGUAAAUAGACCAAUAAGGAGAGUUGUAAUUACGUAAGUAUUAAGCCAGUAAAGUAACCAAUGGCAAAGCUGGGGAAAAAUAAUACGAUUGGAUUAAGUCAUGUCAAAACAUAGCUGCUUACAAUUAGUAUGUGAAAUAUUUUAUUUAUUUAUUUAUAUUACUUUAUAAUUCGCGAAUUUAUUAAUAUUGGAAAAAAUAAGAGCGUUUGCAUAUCUUAUUUUUGAUACAAUACACAAUUUUUUGUGAAUGUCUGCUGCUCUGCAAUGGCCUUUAGUAGAAUGACUCAUCGUCAGAAUCAUUCUUUCCAUCAGGGUAGGCAGAGAGUUCUGCAAUACACGACUCGUUUCCGGCUCGUAUACGCAUCGACGUUAUCAAAAUACAAAAAAGAAAAAAAAAGAAAAGAGAAAAAAAAUAAAGGCGAAAAGAUUUCACGUUGAUCCCGCAUUAUCGUUGGGAAUAUCGUACGAAUAUUUCGAAAAUGAAAUUUAUCUUUUAUUUUUCAAAUUCCACGCAAUAUAUAUAUAUAAAUGAUAAAAUGAAGUGAUAAUUUUCUUUAACCAUCAUUGUGUUGAGCCAAGUGCAAUAUCAAUUUUUAGAAACAAGAUUCUUUUGUCCGAUGCCACUUGCAUAUAAAGAUUAUAGAGAAAUCAUAAACCAUUGUUUUUUUUCUCUCAUAUUUUUACGCAAUCUUUUAUUUGCAAAACUAUUCUCUUUUUUUAUUAACAAAUAUAGGAUUAAUUUGUAUAAUUAAUAUCUUAAUAAUGAUCAUUAUUAUCAUAUUCAAAAUGUGAUUUUCGGGUCAGUGAUAUAUUAUCCACCAAAAAUAGUUUAUGGCAGGGAAUCAAACCGAAACCAAAAUAAAUUUCUGAUCAGAAAAUAAAUGCCGACCUCAAUCUUUUAUCUUUUCAAGGAAAAAUUUUUCACUAAAAAGCGUUUUUAUUUUCCACUGAUUUUUGGCUAAAAUAUAAAUAUAUUUAUUAUUUUUUUUUUGUCGUUGAUUGAAUAAUUAAUUAAAAUUGUUUCUACUUUAAUUCCAAUCUGAUAUUUAUUUUUAUGUCAGUGUGUUGAAUGUGUGUUUAUAUAUGAAUAAUUUAUUAGAAAUAUUUCGUUAACUGAAAUUUCAUAACGCGUGAGAAAGAGUAAGUAAAAAAAAAAUUUUGAAUAUGCAAGAAAAUGCAGUUUUAUUUUUAGCGCGUGUUCACCUGUUACCCUAAAAGCACAAGGCGUGUAAUGUGUUUCUUACAAUUCUGCGUGCAUUAAUUGGAUGGUUCGCAGUACACUCACUCGAAUGAACGGAAUUCCAGUCUAGUAACCGCAUACGUACAUAGUUUAUAUAUGUAUAUAUAUUAUAGAGAAUACAAUAUCAUCUUGCAUAUUAAUUUUAAGGGUUACGUUGCGUUUGUCGCAUCAGAGGCUUAUUUUGCAAUUUUUUUCUCUCGUGUAUAAUAUUUAAAAAUAGCUUCUAGGUCAUAUUGUUAAAAAAAAGUGCAUCAAUUUCACGAGUUAAAAUCAUCAAUUUAGUUUUACCAUUUUUUAAAAAAAUUCUUUUCUGACAAUUUUUAAUGUCCUUUGUGGCGCACGGAGUUAAUGUAAUUCACUUCUGUGAUGAUAAAAAUUUAACAAAAUUUUAAUCAUGUUAUACUUUUUAUUAUUUCAAUAAAUAUUGUUUAGUU